GCCGGAUUAGCUCAGGGGUAGAGCAUCCGCCUUGUAAGCGGGAGGUCAUCCGUUCGAUUCGGAUAUCCGGCACC
rnacentral:tRNA from 1 species